CCUACGGGAGGCAGCAGUGAGGAAUAUUGGUCAAUGGACGAGAGUCUGAACCAGCCAAGUAGCGUGAAGGAUGACUGCCCUAUGGGUUGUAAACUUCUUUUAUAUGGGAAUAAAAUGUUCCACGUGUGGGAUUUUGUAUGUACCAUAUGAAUAAGGAUCGGCUAACUCCGUGCCAGCAGCCGCGGUAAUACGGAGGAUCCGAUCGUUAUCCGGAUUUAUUUGGUUUAAAGGGAGCGUAGGUGGAUUGUUAAGUCAGUUGUGAAAGUUUGCGGCUCAAACGUAAAAUUGCAGUUGAAACUGGCAGUCUUGAGUGCAGGAGGGGUGGGCGGAAUUCGUGGUGUAGCGGUGAAAUGCUUAGAUAUCACGAAGAACUCCGAUUGCGAAGGCAGCUCACUGGACUGCAACUGACACUGAGGCUCGAAAGUGUGGGUAUCAAACAGGAUUAGAUACCCCAGUAGUC
rnacentral:rRNA from 1 species